UAAGACAGAGGUGGCAAGCGUUGUUCGGAAUCAUUGGGCUUAAAGCGUGUGUAGGCGGCGGCGUAAGUGUCGAGUGAAAUGCCAGUGCUCAACGCUGGAACGGCUCGGCAUACUGCGUCGCUUGAGGUCGGUAGAGGCGCCUGGAACUCUAGGUGGAGCGGUGAAAUGCGUAGAUAUCUAGAGGAACGCCUGAGGCGAAAGCGGGGCGCUGGGCCGAUUCUGACGCUGAGACACGAAAGCGUGGGGAGCAAACAGGAUUAGAUACCCUGGUAGUCCACGCCGUAAACGAUGCACACUAGAUGACGGGACCUCUGACGGUGCCGCCGUCGUAGCAAAAGUGCUAAGUGUGCCGCCUGGGGAGUACGGCCGCAAGGCUA
rnacentral:rRNA from 1 species